AAAUUGAAGAGUUUGAUCAUGGCUCAGAUUGAACGCUGGCGGCAGGCCUAACACAUGCAAGUCGAACGGUAACAGGAAGCAGCUUGCUGCUUUGCUGACGAGUGGCGGACGGGUGAGUAAUGUCUGGGAAACUGCCUGAUGGAGGGGGAUAACUACUGGAAACGGUGGCUAAUACCGCAUAACGUCGCAAGACCAAAGAGGGGGACCUUCGGGCCUCUUGCCAUCAGAUGUGCCCAGAUGGGAUUAGCUUGUUGGUGAGGUAACGGCUCACCAAGGCGACGAUCCCUAGCUGGUCUGAGAGGAUGACCAGCCACACUGGAACUGAGACACGGUCCAGACUCCUACGGGAGGCAGCAGUGGGGAAUAUUGCACAAUGGGCGCAAGCCUGAUGCAGCCAUGCCGCGUGUAUGAAGAAGGCCUUCGGGUUGUAAAGUACUUUCAGCGGGGAGGAAGGUGUUGUGGUUAAUAACCGCAGCAAUUGACGUUACCCGCAGAAGAAGCACCGGCUAACUCCGUGCCAGCAGCCGCGGUAAUACGGAGGGUGCAAGCGUUAAUCGGAAUUACUGGGCGUAAAGCGCACGCAGGCGGUCUGUCAAGUCGGAUGUGAAAUCCCCGGGCUCAACCUGGGAACUGCAUUCGAAACUGGCAGGCUUGAGUCUUGUAGAGGGGGGUAGAAUUCCAGGUGUAGCGGUGAAAUGCGUAGAGAUCUGGAGGAAUACCGGUGGCGAAGGCGGCCCCCUGGACAAAGACUGACGCUCAGGUGCGAAAGCGUGGGGAGCAAACAGGAUUAGAUACCCUGGUAGUCCACGCCGUAAACGAUGUCUACUUGGAGGUUGUGCCCUUGAGGCGUGGCUUCCGGAGCUAACGCGUUAAGUAGACCGCCUGGGGAGUACGGCCGCAAGGUUAAAACUCAAAUGAAUUGACGGGGGCCCGCACAAGCGGUGGAGCAUGUGGUUUAAUUCGAUGCAACGCGAAGAACCUUACCUGGUCUUGACAUCCACAGAACUUUCCAGAGAUGGAUUGGUGCCUUCGGGAACUGUGAGACAGGUGCUGCAUGGCUGUCGUCAGCUCGUGUUGUGAAAUGUUGGGUUAAGUCCCGCAACGAGCGCAACCCUUAUCCUUUGUUGCCAGCGGUUAGGCCGGGAACUCAAAGGAGACUGCCAGUGAUAAACUGGAGGAAGGUGGGGAUGACGUCAAGUCAUCAUGGCCCUUACGACCAGGGCUACACACGUGCUACAAUGGCGCAUACAAAGAGAAGCGACCUCGCGAGAGCAAGCGGACCUCAUAAAGUGCGUCGUAGUCCGGAUUGGAGUCUGCAACUCGACUCCAUGAAGUCGGAAUCGCUAGUAAUCGUGGAUCAGAAUGCCACGGUGAAUACGUUCCCGGGCCUUGUACACACCGCCCGUCACACCAUGGGAGUGGGUUGCAAAAGAAGUAGGUAGCUUAACCUUCGGGAGGGCGCUUACCACUUUGUGAUUCAUGACUGGGGUGAAGUCGUAACAAGGUAACCGUAGGGGAACCUGCGGUUGGAUCACCUCCUUA
rnacentral:rRNA from 16 species